UCAUGAAACUUCAUAGGUACAUUGAUCAUGACUCGCAGAUGACCCCUAUUGAUUUUGAGGUCACUAGGUCAAAGGUCAAGGUCACAGUGACCCAAAAUAGUAAAAUGGUUUCCGGAUGAUAACUCAAGAACGCUUAGGCCUAGGAUCAUGAAACUUGAUAGGUAGAUUGAUCAUGACUCGCAGAUGACCCCUAUUGAUUUUCAGGUCACUAGGUCAAAGGUCAAGGUCACGGUGACCCGAAAUAGUAAAAUGGUUUCCGGAUGAUAACUCAAGAAUGCUUAUGCCUAGGAUCAUGAAACUUGAUAGGUAGAUUGAUCAUGACUCGCAGUUGACCCCUAUAGAUUUUCAGGUCACUACGUAAAAGGUCAAGGUCAUGGUUACCCGAAAUAGUAAAAUGGUUUCCGGAUGAUAACUCAAGAACGCUUAUGCCUAGGAUCAUGAAACUUGAUAGGUAGAUUGAUCAUGACUCGCAGAUGACCCCUAUUGAUUUUCAGGUCACUAGGUCAAAGGUCUAGGUCAUGGUGACCCGAAAUAGUAAAAUGGUUUCCGGAUGAUAACUCAAGAACACUUAUGGCUAGGAUCAUGAAACUUCAUAGGUACAUUGAUCAUGACUCGCAGAUGACCCCUAUUGAUUAUCAGGUCACUAGGUCAAAGGUCAAGGUCACAGUGACAAAAAACAUAUUCACACAAUGGCUGCCACUACAACGGAGAGCCCAUAUGGGGGGCAUGCAUGUUUUACAAACAGCCCUUGUUAUUCAUAAUUUAGCCAUUACUUCACUGAGCAUCAAGGGAUUAUGUAAUAACGUUUACAUUAUUCUUGUUUAUCUGGCUGUGUCACAGGUAAGACUCAGGUCUCUAGGGUCAAGGUCACACAUUUAGGUGAAAUGUUACAAAUUUUGAUUUAAUAUGCCUAAUUAUGUUAGGAUUCUACCAUACAUCAAGCGAUUUUCAAAUGCCUUGAAGUAAUUUUUCAUCAUCCCUAUGGCCAAGAUCACAUACACUUCUUCGCACACCGCCUUUUAUAAGCAGAGUUGUAACCAUUUCUUCCUUAAAAAUACCUUUUUUAUAAGCUUUGUUUGGUAGAUUA